rnacentral:rRNA from 1 species
AACGUGCCCAAUUGUGGGGGGAUAACGUAGAGAAAUUCGCUAAUACCGCAUACGAUCUAAGGAUGAAAGCGGGGGAUCGCAAGACCUCGCGCAAUGAGCGGCUGAUAUCAGAUUAGCUUGUUGGUGAGGUAAAAAGCUCACCAAGCCGACGAUGUAGCUGGUUUGAGAGAACGACCAGCCACACUGGGACUGAGACACGGCCCAGACUCCUGGGAGGCAGCAGUGGGGAAUUUUGGACAAUGGGCGAAAGCCUGAUCCAGCCAUGCCGCGCAGGAAGAAGGCUCUUCGGGUUGUAAACUGCUUUUGUACGGAACGAAACGGUUUUGCUAAUACGGCGGGGUUAAUGACGGUACCGUAAGAAUAAGCACCCGGCUAACUACGUGCCGCGAGCCGCGGUAAUACGUAGGGUGCGAGCGUUAAUACGGAAUUACUGGGCGUAAAGCGCGCAGGCGGUUAUGUAAGACAGUUGUGAAAUCCCCGGGCUCAACCUGGGAAUUGCAU